rnacentral:lncRNA from 1 species
AGUGCUCCAGGAAAGUACCUGAUUGACAAGAUCUACAUCCAAUGCCCAGAAAACACAUCCUACACAGGCACAGUGAAGCGUGGAGUUGAAGAAUUUUCCAGAAAACCAGUUUGGCUAUUAAGGGAACCUGUCGACACAGAGCAGAGCAAGAUAAGGCCAGGUUUCAGAAAGAAUAGCUGUUUACCAUCAAAGCAACUGGGUUCCACACAGACAUGGUAUAUUAUACACAAAGACGAAGGAUAUGGGUCCACUCUCCGUCAAGGAAUGUUAUAAAUCCACGUGGUGUCCCUGGGUGUCAGGCUUGGCCAGAACAUCUGUGGCUGGAGAAGCCAAUGUGGCUCAGGAGCUCCCUGCUGGCUGCACAUCUGAACGGCUUCAGGAGUACAAGUUUCCCCAUCAAAGGUUUGGAAUAAAUUACACUAAAAAAUUGGCUCCAGAACGAGUUAUUUUGGACAGGACAAGGUGAAGCUCUCAUGAGGUGUGUUAAAUGCAUCCCUCUGUGCAGUGGGCAACUGCGGGAGAGCUGGAGGGGGUGGUCAAAGGCUGUGGGGAAAGUGGAGAAACUCUAACCCUGCACACACUUGGACAGAAAUGCCAAAUCUACUGACUGGACAAGAUUUGGGAAAUUCAUUUUUUAAACAAAUGGUUUUACAAAGCUUUAUAACUUAAUUUGAAUAUAUAUCUUAUAAAUAGUCAUCCUUUUCCUGAUACUUCAUUUUCAAAGGAUGUCCUUUCCUCCCUCAUGGAGUACUGGAGCCAGCUCACACUAGCUUAUGAGAGCUGAUUGUUAAGUUUUCAGGACUUUUGUGAGCCAGUUGUCAAACACAGCUGCUAUUAAAAAUUAAAUUACAUAAACUUUCAAAGUUAUCUUAAAAACAAGGGUAAGAAAUGUCCCAAACUCAUUAUCAUUUCCUAAUUAUUUUGCUACAUUUUAUUAUGAUCUAUGUUCUUGAGGUUAGUUACAUCUCUUGUACCUAUUUGAUGGAAAUACUGUAUAAUGGUGGGCCACUGUGUAUCUCAUUACAUCUCCAUGUUCAGUGACAUCACAUGGAUAGUUUCAAGUCAACAUGUUGGGAGUAGUUGCCUCACAGAAACUGACUACAAAUCAGGGCGUUGACUUAUCAUUUCAUUGAUGAUCCAGACAAGAAAGUGGAGGAAAUGUUAAUAAUGCAUACUAAAUUUAAACAUGUGUUAUGCUUGCAGUUAUUACAUAUGAAUAGCCUAAACAUUGAGAAAAGAUUCUUCCAGUAUUUAACAACUAUUAAAAU